CUGGUAUUGUUCCAAUUUUAGUGUAUGUGCUGCCAAAGUGAGAGGAUUAGCGUGGUCCCUGCACAAGGAUGAGCUGCAAAUCUGUGAAACAUUCCAUAUUUUU